UUCAGUGACCAACCCCUAUUUAUUCCUUUUUUGUUAUUUUUAUCGAGACUUCCUUUUUCCUUUCGUUCAAAGGAGAACCACAUUUUUCGUUCGUGAUAAUAAAUCAAUUAAUAUUUUUAUAACCUGGAUCUCAUCUAUUCCUUCGAAUUAAUUAUUAGUUACGGACUCGUACACGUGGAAUUACUAUUAUACCUUAUAUACUCAAAAAACCAUAAAUUUCUUGUUCACUUGGUCAUUUGGAAUUUGUAUUUCAAAGGAUGAAGGUCACAGAAUUGGCGAAGAAGAUUGUUUGCGACGAGAACACCGUUGAAUGGCUGCGGAAUCGUUGGUUGAUGAGAAGAAAUAUAUAUUGCUUAGAAUGCCAGAGGUCAAGUAGGAAAGAAUCAAAAAACGGGAACCAAAUUUUCGGUUUUACUGAAAGUGGGUACAGUAAGAUAUUUUCGAUUCCGAAGGGUAGUUUCUUUGAAAAGAGCCAUUUAAGGCUCUGCAAAUUAGUAGAACUUACUUACUGGUUGGCUUCCAAAAUCCCUAUCUCCGAAAGAGUGAGACAAACUGGUACUUCUGUUAAAACAGUUAUUGACUAGUAUAAUUUUCAUUGAGACAUUUGUUCUCAAUAUUUUCUCGAUAAUCCUGUUAAAAUUGGGGGCCCUGGUAGGAUUGUAGAAAUAUAUGAAUCUAAAUUUGGGAAGACUAAAUACCAUAGAGGGAGGUACCAGGAAAGUCCUUGGGUGUUUGGAGGUGUCGAUAGGGACAGUGGGAAAUGCUUUCUACUUGAAGUUGAAGAUCGCCCACCGUUAAUGUUUUUACCACUCAUUGCUGAGCAUGUUCUACCCGGAAUAACUGUCAUUUCUGACAAUUGGGCAGCCUAUUGCAACUUUAGAAAUGAAUUAGAUAUGGCACACUUUUCUGUAGUGCAUAAGUAUAACUUUGUUGCUCCAUUAACUGGAGCUCAUACUCAGACGAUAGAGUCUUUGUAGAGUCAUCUCAAGGGUAUGCUAAGAAGGUUAGGAGUAAUGAAUACCUCUAGAGAGCUUUUCCAUCAAGGAUAUUAGUCAUUUUUAUAGAAUUCUUGACAACAUUAUGAACCGAUAUCCGAUAUGAGGUUCUUUCAUAUUUUUAAAUUAUUUUAUUAGAGUUCUUUUAUGCUCUACCUUUUUUUCUGUUUCAUGACUUAGUAGAUUUGAUGGCAAAUAUGUUCCUCACAAUUAUACCAAUUACUUUUAUCCAAGAAGGAGAAGAAGUAUAUCUGAAAUAUUAUUCCCCAAUUGGACUUGUUCGAUGGCUUUGGAUCAAAACAAAAACAUUUUCUUCCGGAGGGACUACGAAUUAAACUAACUGCUUUAUAUAUAAUUUUAUCUAUUGUUUUCAAUAAAUUUUAGUUUUAUUUGGUCAUUUGUUUUAUACUCUUGUGAUUGCUCUAUUUUGUUCAGAGUUGGGCAAGUUAAUGCAACUUAACUUAUCUAAGUUAAGUUAAUUAACUUUUAAAUUAAUUAGUUAGUUUCUUAUUAAUCAAAAUUAACUUUUAACUUAACUAGUUAAUUUUGUGAACUGCAUUAUCUUAACUUUAACUUUACUUGAUUAAGUUUAUUAUUUUAAGUUAAAUUAAUUUUGUUACACUAAGUUGAAAUACUAAAAAACUGUCAUUUUCUACCUGUCGUAGAAAAAGUCGUUUUUAUAUUAUCCCCGAUAUUUUUAUAAUUUCACAUAUAGUUUAAAAUUAGUAGAAACUCAAAAAUAUAAAUUGUUUGCUUUCUUUGAACUCCAUUUUAUUAGUUAAAUUACCCUAAAGUUUCAGCAUCGAGGUUGGCACAUACAUCGUUAAACUGUUAUUUCUGUUGCGCUUUUAUUAUAUUAAUCUGCUUUAAAUACAUUUUGAUAGGUUUAUAUUUAUUAUAUAAUUAAUAAUUUUAUUGAAUAAAAUGCCUCUUUGACCUUGAAUUCACGAGGUCAAAUCUUUGACCUUAAAAAUUUCAAAUAUGGCCUCUUAAUUUCGUUGAAAUUUUUAUAUAUUUAUAAUUAUAUAAAAAAAUAAGUGAGCAAAGUUUGAAAUGUGCAAUCGGUCUAAAUCAACAGUUAAUAAAUCAAAUGUGUGUAUAGGUUGAAAUAUUUCUUAUUUUUAUGUACUGUAUGACAUGUGAGACUAUUUCAAUCCAUUCCAUGUGAUAGAUUAAUUAAAUUACUACAACAUAUAAGUAUAAAUUUUUAAAUUUACAUUGACCAUGUAAUAAUUAUUUCUUAUUUAUCUCUUGUCAAGAGUACUUUACUUAAUAUUAUAUAAAAAAGAAAAGUAUAAAUUAUUUACUGGGGUGUAGCAUAAUUCGAGAGUCAAGCUCGAAUCAAGUGUUGUUCAAAUAAAAAUUAUUGCUUCCAGAAAAAGGCAAAUAUUUCGUGAAGAAUAAGGUCUUCAUAUUAAAUUUAAGUGUAAAUGUUUUUAUGUUCAUCAAUAUUGCUGUGAAUCAAUUUUUAAUCAUUUCCAUUCAUUUUUACAGUUUUAUUUCAUUUUGGAAUUAGGUAGUUAAAAAAUUAACCUCUCGCCGGUAAGUUUCAAAGAUAUUCAAUUUUUGAGGCAAGAGAAUAGAAUAAAGUUGAAAAAGUACAUCAACAUGACAUUUCCCCGGGCUUGUAAGCGUUCCGCUAUUUUGGUGUGCCAUUCAAUUUUUGUUCAGCAUUCAGCCCUUAUUUUCCUUCUGUUCAGCGUUCCAAUUAUAAGGUAUUACCAAGUGUUGAACAGUAAACAUAAAUGUGCUCAUUAAAUGAAGCUGUACUGUUUUUGAGGCAUAAAAAAGUCAGAUACUCCAAAUGAGAUGUAAACUGUGGUUCCCAAAAAUUGAGUAGAUUUUGUCGCAAUGUUGUAUGAUGCUGUGAAUUUUCUUGUGGUAUGAACUGAAAAUUUCCUUGUGAUAUGAAAUGAUCGAAAUUUUUAAACUUGUUCAGUCCAAAUUGCAAACAAAUCAUCCAUGAAUCCACGUAAAAAAUAAAAAAGAUUGCCACACUUUAAUUCGAAGAUUGUGAUGAUUUUGCUUAUUUUACCUAUGAAAA
rnacentral:lncRNA from 1 species